UGGCGGACGGGUGAGUAAUGUCUGGGAAACGGCCCGAUGGAGGGGGAUAACUACUGGAAACGGUAGCUAAUACCGCAUAACGUCGCAAGACCAAAGAGGGGGACCGUUCGGGCCUCGCGCCAUCAGAUGAACCCAUAUGGGAUUAGCUUGUAGGUAAGGUAACGGCUUACCUAGGCGACGAUCCCUAGCUGGUCUGAGAGGAUGACCAGCCACACUGGAACUGAGACACGGUCCAG
rnacentral:rRNA from 1 species